rnacentral:Y_RNA from 1 species
GGUUGGUCCGAGUGCAGUGGUGUUUACAACGAAUUGAUCACAGCCAGUUACAGAUUCCUUUGUUCCUUCUCCACUCCCACUGCUCCACUUGACCAGCCCUAA